UACGUAGGGGGCGAGCGUUGUCCGGAAUUAUUGGGCGUAAAGGGCGUGUAGGCGGCCUGUUAAGUCAGGGGUGAAAGACCGGGGCUCAACUCCGGGUUUGCCCAUGAAACUGAUGGGCUUGAGUGCUCUAGAGGGCAGUGGAAUUCCCGGUGUAGCAGUGAAAUGCGUAGAGAUCGGGAGGAACACCAGUGGCGAAGGCGGCUGCCUGGGGAGUAACUGACGCUGAGGCGCGAAAGCUAGGGGAGCAAACAGGAUUAGAUACCCUGGUAGUCCUAGCCGUAAACGAUGAGUGCUAUGUGUGAGGGGUAUCGACCCCCCUCGUGCAGGAGUUAACGCAAUAAGCACUCCGCCUGGGGAGCACGGCCGCAAGGUUGAA
rnacentral:rRNA from 1 species